rnacentral:rRNA from 1 species
AUUGAACGCUGGCGGCAUGCCUUACACAUGCAAGUCGAACGGCAGCACGGGAGCUUGCUCCUGGUGGCGAGUGGCGAACGGGUGAGUAAUACAUCGGAACGUACCCAGUAGUGGGGGAUAACGCACCGAAAGGUGCGCUAAUACCGCAUACGACCUAAGGGUGAAAGCGGGGGACCGUAAGGCCUCGCGCUAUUGGAGCGGCCGAUGUCUGAUUAGCUAGUUGGCGGGGUAAAGGCCCACCAAGGCGACGAUCAGCAGCUGGUCUGAGAGGACGAUCAGCCACACUGGGACUGAGACACGGCCCAGACUCCUACGGGAGGCAGCAGUGGGGAAUUUUGGACAAUGGGGGCAACCCUGAUCCAGCAAUGCCGCGUGUGCGAAGAAGGCCUUCGGGUUGUAAAGCACUUUUGUCAGGGAAGAAAUCUUUUGGGCUAAUACCCCGGAAGGAUGACGGUACCUGAAGAAUAAGCACCGGCUAACUACGUGCCAGCAGCCGCGGUAA